CGAGGCGAGUGAGGGAGUCCGACCGAAGUAGCCGACUCAGGCGAGAUGUGAAAGCUUCCGCCAGGGCCGACGUCGACGGUAGGGCUGAGAGGCCGGAGAGCAGCGGGAAGGCUCGACGGCGACCCCCGGAACCUGAUCCGGACCAUACCGGCGAAGGGAACCCGUCUCGUAGGUCG
rnacentral:ncRNA from 22 species